rnacentral:rRNA from 1 species
UGGGGAAUAUUGGACAAUGGGCGAAAGCCUGAUCCAGCCAUGCCGCGUGUGUGAAGAAGGUCUUCGGAUUGUAAAGCUCUUUUAGUGAGGAAGAUAAUGACGGUACUCACAGAAGAAGUCCUGGCUAACUCCGUGCCAGCAGCCGCGGUAAUACGGAGAGGGCUAGCGUUAUUCGGAAUUAUUGGGCGUAAAGGGCGCGUAGGCUGGUUAAUAAGUUAAAAGUGAAAUCCCGAGGCUUAACCUAGGAAUUGCUUUUAAAACUAUUAAUCUAGAGAUUGAAAGAGGAUAGAGGAAUUCCUGAUGUAGAGGUAAAAUUCGUAAAUAUUAGGAGGAACACCAGUGGCGAAGGCGUCUAUCUGGUUCAAAUCUGACGCUGAAGCGCGAAGGCGUGGGGAGCAAACA